AGCGAACGCUGGCGGCAGGCUUAACACAUGCAAGUCGAGCGGGCAUCCUUGUGGUGUCAGCGGCAGACGGGUGAGUAACGCGUGGGAACGUGCCCUUCGGUUCGGAAUAACUCAGGGAAACUUGAGCUAAUACCGGAUACGUGCGAGAGCAGAAAGGUUUAACUGCCGAAGGAUCGGCCCGCGUCUGAUUAGCUAGUUGGUGAGGUUAUGGCUCACCAAGGCGACGAUCAGUAGCUGGUCUGAGAGGAUGAUCAGCCACACUGGGACUGAGACACGGCCCAGACUCCUACGGGAAGCAGCAGUGGGGAAUAUUGGACAAUGGGGGCAACCCUGAUCCAGCCAUGCCGCGUGAGUGAUGACGGCCUUAGGGUUGUAAAGCUCUUUUCUCCGGGACGAUAAUGACGGUACCGGAGGAAUAAGCCCCGGCUAACUUCGUG
rnacentral:rRNA from 1 species